rnacentral:rRNA from 1 species
CCUACGGGGGGCAGUAGUGGGGAAUAUUGGACAAUGGGCGAAAGCCUGAUCCAGCCAUGCCGCGUGUGUGAAGAAGGCCUUCGGGUUGUAAAGCACUUUCAGUGGGGAAGAAAGCCUUGGGGCUAAUACCCUCGAGGAAGGACAUCACCCACAGAAGAAGCACCGGCUAACUCCGUGCCAGCAGCCGCGGUAAUACGGAGGGUGCGAGCGUUAAUCGGAAUUACUGGGCGUAAAGCGCGCGUAGGCGGUCUGAUAAGCCGGUUGUGAAAGCCCCGGGCUCAACCUGGGAACGGCAUCCGGAACUGUCAGGCUAGAGUGCAGGAGAGGAAGGUAGAAUUCCCGGUGUAGCGGUGAAAUGCGUAGAGAUCGGGAGGAAUACCAGUGGCGAAGGCGGCCUUCUGGACUGACACUGACGCUGAGGUGCGAAAGCGUGGGUAGCAAACAGGAUUAGAUACCCCGGUAGUC